rnacentral:rRNA from 1 species
AGCGGCGGACGGGUGAGUAACGCGUGGGUAACCGUGCCUCAUACAGGGGAGUAACAGUUGGAAACGGACUGCUAAUACCGCAUAAGCGCACAGUACCGCAUGGUACGGUGUGAAAAACUCCGGUGGUAUGAGAUGGACCCGCGUCUGAUUAGGUAGUUGGUGGGGUAACGGCCUACCAAGCCGACGAUCAGUAGCCGACCUGAGAGGGUGACCGGCCACAUUGGGACUGAGACACGGCCCAA